CCCGUCUUGAAAAACCAAAAAAAAAAAAAAAAAAAGAAAGAAUGAAUGAAUAUUCAUUUGGAGAAAUAGCUCAGCAGCUAAAAGCACUUGCUGCUCUUGCAGGAGUCCAGGGUUAAGUUCUCAGAACCCAUAUAGCAUCUCACUACCAUCUGUAACUUGUUUCUGGGAAUCUGAUGUCCUCUUCUGGAUCCGAAGAGCAAACACUGAAUGCAUUUGAUGCAUGGCAUACAUGCAGGCAAACAUUCAUACACACAGAAUAAAUCAUUUUUUAGAAGGAACACAAGAACAAACAUAGAAUCUGCAUGGUGCGUGUGUGAUCACACCACAGGCCUGAAGCAAAGUGCAGAUUUGAGUCCCACAGGGCUCUCCAGUUAGCAUCCCCCUCAAGACCUAGUUGCGGUAAUGCUAACUCAAGCCUUUGCCCUCUGUCUUCAAUGAAUAUCUGUUUCUUUUAUUAUUUUGUCCUCAAACACAGUUGACUUUUAAGUCACUCCCUGCCUCUGUAAAAUUUUCCACAUUACUGCUGUGUAGAUAUCUAGAGGAUGCCUUAGGUAGAAGUGAGAACACCUAGACUAGGGGCAGGAGGCAGGUGUGCUUUGCCUUGUAGAUGACUCCUCAGUUUAGGGUCUGAAGUGAAGAGAGGCUAUUGCCUAGGACCCCAUCAUUAACCCUUAUGGUGAGUUAUUAGAGUCUUUCAGGGGGUGAAAGCCCAAGUUCCACUCAGAACCACUGCUUUUGGAGAAGCUGGUGUCGUAUUGUCCUUCAAAACCCCCUUGGUGGCUUUAGUGUACAACUAGGGCUGAAAUCGAGAAUAUAAGAUGAUCAUCAGCAUUAGAGCCAGAUAAGUUCAGGUCCCAGACCAGCACUGUACGUCGGAGGGGCAGAUGGUUUCUGUUAUGUCGGAGUUGCGGAUAGGUGGGAGAGCAUGUGAGAAAGAUGACAAUCCGCAUUAGGUAAGCAUGUGGAGGUCAGAGGUCAGCAGACUUCCUGUGGUGUCCUUCAUCAAGCAUCAUCCACCAUGUUUUGAUUUGUUUGCUUUGUAUUUUGACACAGGGUCUCUCACUAUGCAGUCUAUGACUGGCCAGCACUCCGGAGGUCUGCCUGUCUCUGCUAGUGCAUGCACUACACUUUCCUUAUUUAAUGGGUUGUGAGCCUCAAGCUCAGGUCCUCUGACCCAUCCCUUUCAGUACAGCCUCAGAGGCGUCCCACGUUCACUUAACGCAAACAGCUGGUGUUUAUCAUAGCGUUCUUCUCUGCCCUCCUUUCAUGACUAUAUUUACAUAAUCCCUAUCUACACCCCUGCCCCAGAGUAUCUAAGGAGACAUUGCUAACCUCUGUCCACAAAACUUCUGAGGAAACCCUUGGUAGCAAGGAAAAAGAUUCAUGAGGUUUCAAACUCUUAAGUUAAAACUUAAAAUAAAGUGGGUACCAUGGGAGUUGUAA